UACGUAGGUGGCAAGCGUUACUCGGAAUCACUAGGCGUAAAGCGCAGGUAGGAGGUUUAGUAAGUCUGUUGUGAAAGCUCCCGGCUUAACUGGGAGAGGUCAACGGAAACUGCUAGGCUAGAGUGCGGUAGAGGUAGCUGGAAUUCCCGGUGUAGCGGUGAAAUGCGUAGAUAUCGAGAGGAACACCUGCGGCGAAGGCGGGUAGCUGGGCCGACACUGACGCUGAGGCGCGAAAGCCAGGGGAGCGAACAGG
rnacentral:rRNA from 1 species